rnacentral:rRNA from 1 species
UUAGAUACCCCACUAUGCUUAGCCCUAAACAACGAUCUUAUACACACAAUAUCAUCCGCCAGAGAACUACAAGCGAAAAGCUAAAAACCCUAAGGACUUGGCGGUGCUUCAAACCAACCUAGAGGAGCCUGUCCUAUAAUCGAUACCCCACGCUUAACCUCACCCCCCCUUGCCAAUCAGCCUAUAUACCGCCGUCGUAAACCCACCUUGUAAGAGGAGUAAAGUGGGCGAAAUAGUUAAUAACAAAUACGUCAGGUCAAGGUGUAGCACACGGGGUGGCAGAGAUGGGCUACAUUUUCACACAAACACACAGAUAACGCGUUGAAACACACAUUUGAAGGUGGAUUUAGUAGUAGUCUAGAGAAGAAAACCAAUACGAAACCUGCUCUGAAGCGCGCACACACC